AAGAAACGGACUCGGCAGGAUAUCGCAUCAUGGGCCUACGUAGUUUGUCUGAAACAAGCAUCAGAGUCGAUGUAGUUCGGGGCGGGGGGAAACGUGCUCGCUAGGACAUCGAAUCCUAUGCAUACGUAUCUUCUCUUACCAGAGAAGAAUCAGAGCACUCGUAGCUCGGCUAACGCACGCCAAACAAAACUCAAACAAGAAAUCGACUGUCAAUCGCUGGACUUACGUCAGACUCCAAACAAACAGGAAAACCUGGAAACCGAAUGCCA
rnacentral:lncRNA from 1 species